UGGCUUCAGAUUUAAGGUUAUGGUUGAU
rnacentral:piRNA from 1 species